rnacentral:lncRNA from 1 species
ACAGUAUAGGAAACAGUAGUCACAAACUAGGCAUCUGACAAAGGACUAAUGUCCAGACUCCAAAGGAACUGAAAGAAAUCAGCAAGAAGAAAAGGUGCCAUUUACCACCUUCCUGACUCAUUGGCCAGAACCAAUGUUAGUGGAAUUAACAUAUGCCCCACCCCAAGUGACUUCUAAAGGGCUAACUCACCACAAGGGAGUCAGAGCAGAUCUUGGACUGAGACCUACAGGACACAGGUACUGCUUUUUCUCUUUUAUUUGUUUUAAAUUUUAUUUAUGUUUUUAGAUCAAAUAGUUCAGAUUGCAUUGGUUUUUAAUCUGCUGUUGUUGGAUUAACAUAUGCUUUAAGCGACUCUUAAAUAGGUGGCUCACCAGGAGAAAGGCAUAGCAGAACCUGGACUGAGACCUACGGGAGACAGCAGGCAGACACACAGGAGGUUGGACGUCGAGAGGAGCACAUCAGUGCAAGAACACAUGGGUGGCUGCCACUUCUCUCCCUUUCCUGAGAGGGAAAAACUCUCGACGCUGAGAGGAAUCCACCAACAGGCACCAGCACUCUGGCAGGCCACCGACCAAUGGAUUGACAUAGAGUUUGGCUGGGGCAGCCAGAGGAGAGCCUGGGCCGCUGAAUAACCCGACUUCAGGGGAAAACUAUUCUCCCUUUUGGCUCCCCCAUCUGCUGAGAGCUACUUCCACUCAAUAAAACCUUGCACUCAUUCUCCAA